UGGUUCAAAACCCGAGAGGCGCAAUGAAAGUGAAGGGAGCGGGCACCCCCGGGUGCCCGUCCCGAGGGAGGAUGGGCGUUGACCAGGCGGCGGAAGCCCAGCCCCCCUUAACGGGGGGGGGACGGCGGCCCCGCCGGCGCCCCGCACUCCCGGGGCGUCUCCGGCUCACUGCGAGCGGAGGCGCACUCAGAGCGCACACGUUGGGACCCGAAAGAUGGUGAACUAUGCCUGGCCAGGACGAAGCCAGGGGAAACCCUGGUGGAGGUCCGUAGCGAUUCUGACGUGCAAAUCGAUCGUUAGAGCUUGGUAUAGGGGCGAAAGACCAAUCGAACCAUCUAGUAGCUGGUUCCCUCCGAAGUUUCCCUCAGGAUAGCUGGCGCUCGCGUUAUCGCGAGUCUCAUCCGGUAAAGCGAAUGACUAGAGGCAUUGGGGUCGAAACGACCUCAACCUAUUCUCAAACUUUAAAUGGAUGAGAACCCCGGCUUGCUUGAGAGUGAAGCCGGGGCUCGGAUCAGAGUGCCAAGUGGGCCAUUUUUG
rnacentral:rRNA from 1 species